rnacentral:rRNA from 1 species
AGCGAACGCUGGCGGCAGGCUUAACACAUGCAAGUCGAACGAAGCCUUCGGGCUUAGUGGCGGACGGGUGAGUAACACGUGGGAACGUACCUUUUGGUUCGGAACAACACAGGGAAACUUGUGCUAAUACCGAAUGAGCCCUUAGGGGGAAAGAUUUAUCGCCAUUAGAGCGGCCCGCGUUAGAUUAGCUAGUUGGUGAGGUGAAGGCUCACCAAGGCUACGAUCUAUAGCUGGUCUGAGAGGAUGAUCAGCCACACUGGGACUGAGACACGGCCCAGACUCCUACGGGAGGCAGCAGUGGGGAAUCUUGCGCAAUGGGCGAAAGCCUGACGCAGCCAUGCCGCGUGAAUGAUGAAGGUCUUAGGAUUGUAAAAUUCUUUUACCAGGGACGAUAAUGACGGUACCUGGAGAAAAAGCUCCGGCUAACUUCGUGCCAGCCGCCGCAGUAAGAC